AUUGAACGCUGGCGGCAGGCCUAACACAUGCAAGUCGAACGCGAAAGUCCUUCGGGAUGAGUAGAGUGGCGGACGGGUGAGUAACGCGUGGGAAUCUGCCCUGUAGUGGGGGAGUAACGUUCCGAAAGGGACGCUAAUACCGCAUACGCCCCAAGGGGAAAGCGGGGGAGUCUUCGGACCUCGUGCUACAGGAUGAGCUUGCGUCGGAUUAGCUAGUUGGUGGGGUAAAGGCCUACCAAGGCGACGAUCCGUAGCUGGUCUGAGAGGAUGAUCAGCCACACCGGGACUGAGACACGGCCCGGACUCCUACGGGAGGCAGCAGUGGGGAAUAUUGCGCAAUGGGGGCAACCCUGACGCAGCCAUGCCGCGUGUGUGAAGAAGGCCUUCGGGUUGGUUAAAGACGACUUUAC
rnacentral:rRNA from 1 species